CAUGCAUGGCUGUUCCUCUGUGAAUCGCUGAAUGGACCAGUUUAGUGAAGCGAACAUGUCUGUUCAGAGGCAGACAGAAGCAGGAAGUGAGCGGGCGUAUGUCACUGUCUGGUCAGAUCAGUAAGUCAGAGAACUUCACUCUUCUCCAACGGCUAUUUUCACAUUCAGCCUGGCACAGAAGUAGGCACGGGUAAACCACACCAGUUUCUCAUUCGAACAAAGAGGCAAUGGUGGAUCUCUGAAGAGCUUGGCUGAGAGACUCCCAUGCACACUGCAGCCCCCAGUGCUUGCCUUGAGAAGUCCUCACUGCCACCACAGCCUUCCAGAAAGAAAUUACAAACGCCGAGAGACCCCCGUCACCACCAUGCCCAAGAAUACAGGAAAAGGAGGUGAAUCCAGAUGCAGAGGUAAGAACGAGAGAGCUGUAUUCAAAGAGGAUGGACAGGAGCGCUCAAGUCAUCAACGUGCUGGGGCCUGGACGAGUAGAGGCAGUGUGCUUGGCUGGGGUAAGAGACGCUGCGUCCCAUCAGAGGGAAAUUGAGAAGGAAGGUUUGGACAAAUACCUUGGACAUUGUAUUGGCUGGUUUCCGAGACUGUCAGGAUGACAAAGCUGUACGUUUAAAUACAGUGCAGGUGAAGCCAGGAAGGCUGCGGGCACAUGGUGAGCUUCCAGGGCAUGUGCAAAUCAAUGAAACGGAUCAUGUGGUCCUGGAGCUGAUGAUGACAGCCAGUCUGAUGACACUGGAGCUGAUGAUGAAGACAUUGGUGAUCUGCAGGUGGAGCUCCACAGUUUGCAUCCCAGUGUUUCUGAGGUUGUCCCGCUGUUUGGAUUUUGGGCAUGACCGUUAAAGAGGAUUCAGCUUGCAUAGCAUGAUUGCAAUUUGUUAAGGCGGACUGAUUUAUUUCUAAGGGAUUUGUUUCUUUGAAAGCUGAUAAUGCUGAAUGAUCAGGAGUGAGAUGCUAAGCCCAUCUUGUUCUUUUGAUGUAAUGGAGCUUAUGGGUGGAAGACCACAUCUAUUUUAAAAAAAUGCACCACAAUGGAUCCGGCACUGUGGCACAGAGAGUUAAAGCCCUGGCCUGAAGCGCCGGCAGCCCAUAUGGGCGCCGGUUCUAGUCCCAGCCACUCCUCUUCUGAUCCAGCUCUCUGUUAUGGCCUGGGAAAACAGUAGAAGGUGGCCCAAGUCCUUGGGCCCCUGAACCCAUGUGGGAGACCUGGAAGAAGCUCCUGGCUCCUGGCUUUGGAUCGGCACAGCUCCGGCCAUUGCAGCCAUUUGGGGAGUGAACCAGUGGAUGGAAGACCUUUCUCUUUGUCUCUACCUCUCUCUGUAACUCUGACUUUCAAAUAAAUAAAAUAAAUCUUUAAAAAAAAAAAAGAGA
rnacentral:lncRNA from 1 species